rnacentral:rRNA from 1 species
GAUGAACGCUGGCGGCGUGCCUAAUACAUGCAAGUCGAGCGAACAGACGAGGAGCUUGCUCCUCUGACGUUAGCGGCGGACGGGUGAGUAACACGUGGAUAACCUACCUAUAAGACUGGGAUAACUUCGGGAAACCGGAGCUAAUACCGGAUAACAUGUUGAACCGCAUGGUUCAACAGUGAAAGACGGUCUUGCUGUCACUUAUAGAUGGAUCCGCGCCGCAUUAGCUAGUUGGUAAGGUAACGGCUUACCAAGGCAACGAUGCGUAGCCGACCUGAGAGGGUGAUCGGCAACACUGGAACUGAGACACGGUCCAGACUCCUACGGGAGGAAGCAGUAGGGAAUCUUCCGCAAUGGGCGAAAGCCUGACGGAGCAACGCCACGUGAGUGAAGAAGGUCUUCGGAUCGUAAAACUCUGUUAUUAGGGAAGAACAAAUGUGUAAGUAACUAUGCACGUCUUGACGGUACCUAAUCAGAAAGCCACGGCUAACUACGUG